GCAAGCGUUGUUCGGAUUUACUGGGCGUAAAGGGCGCGUAGGCGGCCUCUGCAAGUCGACUGUGAAAUCUCCGGGCUUAACCCGGAAAGGUCAGCCGAAACUGCGGGGCUAGAGUGCAGAAGGGGCAACUGGAAUUCUCGGUGUAGCGGUGAAAUGCGUAGAUAUCGAGAGGAACACCUGCGGCGAAGGCGGGUUGCUGGGCUGACACUGACGCUGAAGCGCGAAAGCUAGGGGAGCGAACGGG
rnacentral:rRNA from 1 species